AUGACGCUGGCGGCAUGCNUUACACAUGCAANUCGAACGGCAGCACGGAGCUUGCUCUGGUGGCGAGUGGCGAACGGGUGAGUAAUAUAUCGGAACGUACCCUGGAGUGGGGGAUAACGUAGCGAAAGUUACGCUAAUACCGCAUACGAUCUACGGAUGAAAGUGGGGGAUCGCAAGACCUCAUGCUCGUGGAGCGGCCGAUAUCUGAUUAGCUAGUUGGUAGGGUAAAAGCCUACCAAGGCAUCGAUCAGUAGCUGGUCUGAGAGGACGACCAGCCACACUGGAACUGAGACACGGUCCAGACUCCUACGGGAGGCAGCAGUGGGGAAUUUUGGACAAUGGGCGAAAGCCUGAUCCAGCAAUGCCGCGUGAGUGAAGAAGGCCUUCGGGUUGUAAAGCUCUUUUGUCAGGGAAGAAAUCCCUUGCCCUAAUACGGCGGGGGGAUGACGGUACCGGAAGAAUAAGCACCGGCUAACUACGUGCCAGCCGCCG
rnacentral:rRNA from 1 species